rnacentral:rRNA from 1 species
CUUGGUGUCUAUAGUGCGAAGGGUACACCUGUUCCCAUUCCGAACACAGCAGUUAAGCUUCGUAACGUCGAUGGUACUUCGUGGCUUCACGUGGGAGAGUAGAUAGGUGCCAAGA